AAGAACAACACUUCCGAGAAGGCGAGAAUUUCGCAAUUCGAAACGAAGGCAAAGCGAUGUUAGCGAUCACUUUGCCAGCAUUUCUACCAAGAUAUUUAUAUUGGCAAUAUUUCUUUGGAAAGAAGGCACAAAUUUGUUAUCUAAAUUAACUGGGAAGUGAGAAAGUUUUUAUUGAAAUGGCAAGUGCUUCAUCAGACAGUGUUCCUGUUGACGAGAUCAAAGAUCUACUUACAUGUACAAUGUGUUUGGAACCUUUGAAUGAUCCAAGAAGCUUGCCUUGCUUUCAUAAUUUUUGUAAAGUGUGUUUAGGUGAGUACAUUUACUUUGUUUAAAGAUCUACUUGUUUGCGUGUUUGUAUAAUUUCACAGUGACCAGUGUGGAACUUCAUAUUAUUUAAUUCGGCGUGAGUUUUGGCUAAAUUGCUGGCGGACCAAAGUAAAGUCGGAAC